CAGAAUCUGUCCGCUACAGAAGUUCGGUCGGAGUCUGGUUCCCAUAGAAGUCCGGAUGGGGAUCAUUUGUUGAGGAAGCUCGACCGAAGCCUGCCUGCAAUAGAAGUUUGGAAGGAAUUCGUUCACAAUAGAAGCUCAAGUGGAGGCUUACAGUACAAAUCCGACGUGGACCGUUCGUAGUAGAAAUCAAAGUAGUCCGCUUGUAGUAGUAGCUCGGA
rnacentral:lncRNA from 1 species